ACACGAGAGAGGAGGUGGUCCGGAAGUUGCAUACGUCCAGGACACGUGAGGUGGCUGUCCGCUAGCCGCCGUCCAGAUGGGCCGCCCGUUCAGCCGACCUCGGAGACCGAUCGAGGCUGAGCGACGGCAGAUCGCCCGUCCGUCGUACGGCGGCGAGCGAGAACCGGACAGUCACCCGACCCCCGGGCCGCCGACCAAUGUCCAGUCGGCCCGCGAGCCGCUCCCC
rnacentral:sRNA from 1 species